rnacentral:rRNA from 1 species
UGGGCAACCUGCCCUCAGCUCUGGGAUAACUCCAAGAAAUUGGGGCUAAUACCGGAUAUGACUGCUGACCGCAUGGUCUGGUGGUGGAAAGAUUUAUCGGCUGGGGAUGGGCCCGCGGCCUAUCAGCUUGUUGGUGAGGUAAUGGCUCACCAAGGCGACGACGGGUAGCCGGCCUGAGAGGGUGACCGGCCACACUGGGACUGAGACACAGCCCAGUCUCCUAGGAGG